rnacentral:rRNA from 1 species
GAUGAACGCUAGCGAUAGGCUUAACACAUGCAAGUCGAGGGGCAGCGAGGGUAGCAAUACCUGUCGGCGACCGGCGCACGGGUGAGUAACGCGUAUGUAACCUGCCCGCAACAGGGGGAUAACCCGGCGAAAGUCGGACUAAUACCGCAUAAAACAGGGGUCCCGCAUGGGAAUAUUUGUUAAAGAUUUAUCGGUUGCGGAUGGGCAUGCGUACCAUUAGGUAGUUGGUGAGGUAACGGCUCACCAAGCCUUCGAUGGUUAGGGGUUCUGAGAGGAAGGUCCCCCACACUGGUACUGAGACACGGACCAGACUCCUACGGGAGGCAGCAGUGAGGAAUAUUGGUCAAUGGGCGAGAGCCUGAACCAGCCAAGUCGCGUGAAGGAGGACUGCCCUAUGGGUUGUAAACUUCUUUUACAAGGGAAUAAAAUGAGAUACGUGUAUUUUAUUGCAUGUACCUUGGGAAUAAGCAUCGGCUAACUCCGUG